rnacentral:rRNA from 1 species
GUGAGGAAUAUUGGUCAAUGGGCGCAAGCCUGAUCCAGCCAUGCCGCGUGCAGGAUGAAGGCCUUCGGGUUGUAAACUGCUUUUGUACGGAACGAAAAGACUCCUUCUAAUAAAGGGGGUCCAUGACGGUACCGUAAGAAUAAGCACCGGCUAACUACGUGCCAGCAGCCGCGGUAAUACGUAGGGUGCAAGCGUUAAUCGGAAUUACUGGGCGUAAAGCGUGCGCAGGCGGUUAUAUAAGACAGAUGUGAAAUCCCCGGGCUCAACCUGGGAACUGCAUUUGUGACUGUAUAGCUAGAGUACGGUAGAGGGGGAUGGAAUUCCGCGUGUAGCAGUGAAAUGCGUAGAUAUGCGGAGGAACACCGAUGGCGAAGGCAAUCCCCUGGACCUGUACUGACGCUCAUGCACGAAAGCGUGGGGAGCAAACAGGAUUAGAAACCCGAGUAGUCC